GUGAAUCAUCGAAUCUUUGAACGCACCUUGCGCCCUUUGGUAUUCCGAUGGGCAUGCCUGUUUGAGUGUCUUGAAAUCAUCAAACCCCCGGUUUUGCGAUCGUGGGGCUUGGACUUGGGGGUUCUGCUGCCGCGAGGCGGCUCCCCUUAAAUGCAUCGGUCGGGCCUACUGGGGCUCCGUCACCUGGGCGUUGUAUUACCCUCGCUCUUCCGACGUGCCUCAGCUUUGCGUGCCCGACCCCGACCUGCCUCUGGAGCGGCGGUCAACACUCUUUGAGAUCUGACCUCAAAUCAGGUAGGACUACCCGCUGAACUUAAGCAUAUCAAUAAGCGGAGGA
rnacentral:misc_RNA from 1 species